UCCGGCUUAUCACCGGCAGUUUCUUUAGAGUGCCCAACUGAAUGAUGGCAACUAAAGACGAGGGUUGCGCUCGUUGCGGGACUUAACCCAACAUCUCACGACACGAGCUGACGACAGCCAUGCAGCACCUGUGAACCAGCCCCGAAGGGAAGCCGACUUUCACCGGCGGUCUGGCCCAUGUCAAACCUAGGUAAGGUUCUUCGCGUUGCGUCGAAUUAAACCACAUGCUCCACCGCUUGUGCAGGCCCCCGUCAAUUUCUUUGAGUUUUAACCUUGCGGCCGUACUCCCCAGGCGGAUGACUUAACGCGUUAGCUGCGCCACCGAAACUCCAAGAGCCCCGACAGCUAGUCAUCAUCGUUUACGGCGUCGACUAC
rnacentral:misc_RNA from 1 species